UACGGGGGGGGCAAGCGUUGUUCGGAAUUACUGGGCGUAAAGGGCUCGUAGGCGGCCAACUAAGUCAGACGUGAAAUCCCUCGGCUUAACCGGGGAACUGCGUCUGAUACUGGAUGGCUUGAGUUCGGGAGAGGGAUGCGGAAUUCCAGGUGUAGCGGUGAAAUGCGUAGAUAUCUGGAGGAACACCAGAGGCGAAGGCGGCUACCUGGACAAUUGCUGACGCUCAGGCACGAAAGCGUGGGGAGCAAAAGGG
rnacentral:rRNA from 1 species